AGAGGCCAGCUCACUCUCAGGCCAUAGAGACUCAUCCUGAUUCGCCCCCAUCCCCAAGUGACACUCUGCCCCGUGCCCAGGAAAGGCGGGUCUGGCCUGUCCCCCGAUCUCCCCCAGCACCUGCCCUCCUCCGACGAACGGGUGAAGACAGACAGCAGGCCCCCUGGCCAAGCCCGUCUCCCUGCCUUGCCCUCCCGGGCGUGGGAGGUCGGCUAGCACCGAUCACCUGGUCUGUCGGUGACUAUCCUGCCCAGGCAUCAGGCACAGAAAUCCAUUUGGGCAGAAAGUCAGCUGUGACAGCCCCUCCGAGCCCCAGGGGACAGAGGCGCAGAGUGCCAGGAACGGACCCCCUCCCGACUUGGCUCCCUCCGGCCUGACUCCUCGCCCAAAGCAGCCCUUGCCCAGACGGCGUCCUCCCUGUAAACCUCCAAGUACAACCCAGAACCAGGGAUCUCGAGGCCCUUCCUGGGAGCUGUAGGUCCCUGGGAUUUCUCCCGGUCUUUCUAGAGAAUCUUCCCCGCACAGGGCUCUCGAGGAGGCUGGACGCCAGGGUCCCCUCUGCCCCCUGUGCACGUCCCCACCCACUGCUGGAGCAGAAUGGGAGGCCCGUCUCCCCCGAACCUGCCGCCAGAACUUUUCGAUCAGGCUCCUGCAACCCCAUUAACCUGCAGCGGCUUCUAAUUGAGCCAACAGGGCUCUGACAUUCUGGCAACGGCUGAGAGCAUUCAGAGCUGGAAAGGGCAGGCCGUUCUCCACCAGGCUGGGGGGCAGGGGGCGUGCAGAGGGAGGAGAGGUGGUGUCACCCCCCUCCCCCAUGUCGGGGCUCCCUGACGUCGGGGGCACAGGAGCCCCCACCCCCACGCCAGAACUCCCCCACCCCAGCCUCACGUCCUCCGGGGAACGAAGCGUCCCCUUACCUGUGCCGAGCCUCGCUGCUGUCCAGCCCGCAGAGGGUAACCCUGGGCGUCCGGGGCGCCCGCCACCAGCCCCUUCCUCGGGAGCAGCCCCGGCCAGGCUGUGUGGGGCGCGUCCCGGGUCGGGGCAUACGUGUAUAUGUGCCCGUGGGCGUAGCAGUGCCUCCGGGAGGAGCCAGGGGUCAAAUAUUCCUGGCUGCCACCUGCCACCGGCCCAUCCCAGGGGCCAGCUGCCCGAGAAGGGGGGCGCUCUGGCCGGGCCGGGCCCGCCGUCAUCUGCCAGGAGCGUCAGGCGACAGCUUUUGCUUACCAGGCUCCCGCCGGCUGCUCUCCCAGGCUGAGGCGAGUGGUUUAUUUUUAGAGCCCGGCCCUUCCCCAGACGCCAGGAUCCCAGCUGAGAUUUCCAGCGGCUCAAACGAGCCCAUUCCUGGGCUGACUUGUCGCUUACUGGGAAUGUUCUGGAAGAGAGACGGAGGUGCUCAAAGGAUGUGGAGCUCAGUGUUCUGGUCUGAGAAGGGCGGGGCUGGACCGGGGGCGGGGGGUCUCCGGGACCCUCUGGCGAGGACGGCCCCUGACUCAGCGGCCAGAAUGGGAUUCGGCUUGGGCAAGGUGCUUCCCCUCUCCCGGCUGCCUCAGUUUCCCCGUCUGGAAGAUGAAAGAGUGCAGCGGGCACCCCCGUGCAGAGCAGGGCUGGGACGGGAGGAUGGGGAGCCACAGCUGCCCACUGUGUAUUCUCCCCAACUGGACUGAGGUCGAGGAGGACAGGGACCCCGGCUGCCCGGUUCACCGUCAGAACUCCCAGUGUGCUAUUCCAGGGUGGACGUACAUAGUAGGUGUUCAGUAAAUAGUAAGUAAGGGAACAAAUGCCCAUCCUCUGGUACCCAGUAUCAGUCUCCUAACUGCCCCGCAAGGUCGCUGGGAACACUUAUUUGAUAGGUGUGGGGCCUGAGGUCUGGAAGGGUGAGGGGCCGCCCCAGGGACCCUGCUCGAAGGUGACAGCAGCUUCCAGGGGGGUGGGUGACGGCUCAGGCAUUUCUCACUCCCCCGUCCUGCCUCCUGAUCAGACGGCCAUCCCCUGGCACAUCCCCUUUCCCAGCCUCAGCCCUGCUCACGCUGUCCCCACCGCUGUCCCUGCUGCUGUCCUGCUAUGGUCCCACUACCCCACUGCUGUCCCCAUUCCCCACCACUGUCCCCACCGCUGUCCCCACUACGGUCCCGCUACCCCACCGCUGUCCGCACCGCUGUCCCCACCGCUGUCCCCGCCCCUCCCACGCUCCCUCUCAUUCUCUGGCUCACGGCACGCUGGGUGUUCUAUAAAUGUCAUCUCCUUUGCAGACCAGAUGGCCACUGAUGGGCUAUGGGACUCAGCCGCGGGGCCUCUCUGCAGCCGUCUGGUGUCCCGAGGGGAGCCCCGUUCUCCGUGGCGGCGGGGGGGGGGGGGGGGCAGCACACCUCCUGACCCGCCUGGGCCUCGCUCUCCUUCUCCCCGGCUCGGGCCCUGCCGCGGCGAGGAGGGGACGGUGCCAGGUGUACACUGGGCCGCCAGUGUUUGCCCAUCCACAUUGACUCAGCUCGUAGGGAAAGAAGUUUGCUGCUCUGUGUGUGUGUUUGCUGGAUGAGCUUUCACCACCGGAUCCUCUCGCCCUCGGCAGGGUGGGGCCUCCAGGCUGAGCUGCCCCUCACGGAACCGACGCAGCCCCGUCCCUGACGCACGGACCACCCGUCUUGGCCACCCCACAGCCCGCCUUUGAGGAGCCGCUCUGCCCUCUGCAGCCUCCCACGCCAAUGCCACCUUCUCCGGUAGGAACUCCCCAGAGGCAGAAACGUGGCUUCCGCGGGGCUCCAAGGGCCCUCUGCUCCUGUUUGUCGGGCAAACGGGCAAAUUCCCCCAAAGGAAGGGUUCGGUGAGUCGUGGCCGUCCACGAGGUCCGGAUAGCACUCGGUGUCCGGGACGAAUGUCCACGAUCCGAGCUAAGUGAUCGCCAACUGCAGCUAUGGGAAGGCUUCAGUUUUGUUGAAGACACACGUCGGUUGUGACGGCUUGGAGGGGAGUCGCUCCCCUCCGGAGCCCAGCGGGCUCACCACGUGCCAUGGUCCCUUGCUUCCUGUGGGUGAGCGCGAGGCCACCACGUGGUGAUCAUGACCAGAUAGAGGAGCUCAGACGCCAAGAAGCAGGAGGCAUGAGAGCAGAGCCCGAAAGGUGACAGGAAAGGACAGGGGGUAGGUCGGGGGUGAAGGGACUCCCCAAAGAAGACACCUCCCCGUUUACAGAGGAGGAGCCCCUUCAGAGCGUCUCCGGGGUCCACAGCCUGGCACGUUCCCCGCCUGAGCUGUUUCCCUCGCCCCACAGGUUGGCCACGUCCCCUGUCACUCGCUGCCUGUGGCUUGGAGACCCUGCCCUUGCUCACAGGACUCCAGCUGCAUCCGGGAAUCUGUGCACCGGACGGAGUAGCUGAGAAGCCCAGGGGAUGGUCACCCUCCGGGGACAGAGCCCAGAGCCCCCCCACCCCCCGUACAUGCCUGUGUGUGGGCAUCUGAUGGGCCACCGCCUUCUCCCCAGGGUGCGCCCACCCCGCUGUCCGUGGUUCGACGGCCACGACACUCCACCCGGCACUAGUUCAAGGUGGGCAAGCUUAUCCUGAGGACGCCUGGGGACCCUGGGGCCUGGCGGCUGAGUGGGGAGCAGGGCCCCCUGAGCUGCCCCCGUGGACGCAACGGCCAGCAGCCUGCAGCCCCGAAGACAGCGGCUCAAGAACGCCCGAGUACAACCGUGCCCGACCUGUUGGGCCCGCCCUGCCUGCCGUCUUACAGAUGAGAAAACCAAGCUGUGCCCACCUUGCCUGCAGCGUCGGCGGCCUUCCUGCUGGGUGGCGAGUGCUUGCACGCUUCCUGUAAUGGGAAGCUCGUUCUCUCGCGAGGCAGCCUUCUCCGUGGACACGGUGUCCCCCUUCCAGCUGCCCCUCCCCCAGCUCCUCCCCAUUUUGGCGGCUCAGGGAACCCAGGCUUGGCCCACAGACGCGGGGGGCCCUGGUCCCUCUCUGUGCCUCACGGCCACGUGCCAGGGCUUUUGAACCCCUCCCUCGUGCCUUUAAGCCCCUUCUCCUGAGCGACAACAGUUAGGAGUUCCUGCCCGCCGGGCAUGCUCGACGGUUCGCAUGUGACUGCCAAGCACCCGGGCUUCCAAGCUGCUGGUCCGUUCGCUCGUGAGGGGUGGGCUGCCCCCACCAGGGGCCAGCAGGGCCCUCCUGUCCCUCUCGCUCACUGCCGAGCGCUCAGCGGCCAACACGAUGGCUCGGGACAUACCAACGGCUGUGCGUUGCCAAUCGGCAGAUCUGCAGGUUUUGGGGGCGGGGGGGUCAGACAGCCCCGGGGUACCGGAAGGAGACCCCUCUCCCCGCUCCCGGGCCCGCUGGCCCUGCACAGGUGGCUCCUUGCAAUCGUGGAUGGUGCGUCGCAGGCCUGCUGGAAUCUGCUAUCUUCCUCUGAAGAUUGCUUCCUGCUUCCGCUGGCUGUGAAAUGAGCAGCUGACCACCCGCAACUCACGUAGGCCUGGUUUGUACUUGGCUCGCGUGGGUGUGGAAGAACCUGCUGUUUGUCGUCCGAAUUACCUGCGACUCUGUGUUCCCUGCAGAGCUGGGGGGGGGGGGGGGGGUGAGGCUCUCUGCCUUGUCCCCCCUCGUUAUUCCGGUCACAGUUUCAAAUCGCCUCUUGGGAGAACGCUUCCCGGAUUGGCUUCUGUAACAAAACCCAAGCCCUUCUCCCCCAUCAUAUAUUUUCUGUAUAACCCUGACCGCCACCUGAAAUUAUCAUGCUUAUCACCAGGUUUAUUUGCUUCUUCUCUGUCUCCCCAGACAGAACAUUCUGCCAGGAGCGGGAGCCGGUCUGUGUCCCUAGCCACAAAACCUUGGCCCAGCACAGCCUUGGCCGUUGGCUCUCGGUAAGGGUGUUAAUGGACUCCUCCCUGUA